GAGUUUGAUCCUGGCUCAGGACGAACGCUGGCGGCGUGCCUAACACAUGCAAGUCGAACGGGGAUAUUGAUUUCGGUUGAUAUCCCAGUGGCGAACGGGUGAGUAACGCGUGAGCAACCUGACCUUUUGAGGGGGAUAACACCUGGAAACAAGUGCUAAUACCGCAUAAGACCACGGAGCGGCAUCGUUCAGGGGUCAAAGGAGGAAUCCGCAGAAGGAGGGGCUCGCGUCCCAUUAGGUAGUUGGUGAGGUAACGGCCCACCAAGCCUGCGAUGGGUAGCCGACCUGAGAGGGUGAUCGGCCACACUGGAACUGAGACACGGUCCAGACUCCUACGGGAGGCAGCAGUGGGGAAUAUUGGGCAAUGGGGGAAACCCUGACCCAGCAACGCCGCGUGAGGGAAGAAGGUUUUCGGAUUGUAAACCUCUGUCCUAAGAGAAGAGGGGAAGACGGUAUCUUAGGAGGAAGCCCCGGCUAACUACGUGCCAGCCGCCGCGGUAAUAC
rnacentral:rRNA from 1 species